GUGAAGAUCAUCAAGUGAGGCCCUGAGCAUGAUCUCCAUGCAAUAUCCAGAAUGAAAACCAGACCAUCAAGGGUCUAGGAAAUCGAUGGCAUUCAGAUGCAUCUAAAGCUGACAGGAGACCACCUGUUCAAUAGCCUUCCACUGGAAACAGGGUGGUGAACCUGGUUUCUUGAGCAGGGACCAGGCAAUUGAAGACUUAAGAAUGCCAAUACUUGGAGGUGUGUUACAAGAAGAAAGUACCCACAACUACUCUCUCCUGAAAGAUACCCAUCAUUAUGUUACCACUUGGUCACCAGCUGCAGUUUGCUUGGAGAUGAAGAUGACACACUGUCACUUUCUCAAACACCCUCUCCUUAACCUAGCCAUUCUUAAAGAGACAGUGGGAUAAAUGAAAUUCAAGAUUCAAGAGGUGCCGCUUCCCUUGAAAAUAUUCCACCCACCAGAGAGGAGUUUCAGAAUCCAUUCCUAGCAGUUAAUGCUCCAUCCUAAAUGACAUCGCUUUUCAGUAGUGACAUGUGCAUUGAUCUGCAUUACAAAAAUAAAAGGAAUAGCACUUC